AUUGAACGCUGGCGGCAUGCCUUACACAUGCAAGUCGAACGGCAGCGCGGACUUCGGUCUGGCGGCGAGUGGCGAACGGGUGAGUAAUACAUCGGAACGUACCCUGUUGUGGGGGAUAACUAGUCGAAAGAUUAGCUAAUACCGCAUACGACCUGAGGGUGAAAGUGGGGGACCGCAAGGCCUCACGCAGCAGGAGCGGCCGAUGUCUGAUUAGCUAGUUGGUGGGGUAAAGGCCCACCAAGGCGACGAUCAGUAGCUGGUCUGAGAGGACGAUCAGCCACACUGGGACUGAGACACGGCCCAGACUCCUACGGGAGGCAGCAGUGGGGAAUUUUGGACAAUGGGGGCAACCCUGAUCCAGCAAUGCCGCGUGUGUGAAGAAGGCCUUCGGGUUGUAAAGCACUUUUGUCCGGAAAGAAAUCGCGCUGGUUAAUACCUGGCGUGGAUGACGGUACCGGAAGAAUAAGCACCGGCUAACUAC
rnacentral:rRNA from 2 species